rnacentral:siRNA from 1 species
GACUCGCGCUUACUAAGAAUUCCU